CAGUAAGUAUUUUAAGUUUUUAAAAAUUUUAGUUUUGGAGACUAAAGAUGGGUUUCUUUACUGA
rnacentral:tRNA from 1 species